ACCCUUCCAGGACGCGGCCUCCUCGCUUCUUAAAAUGUCUGAGCUCUACGAAGUGGAACUGUUAGCCCUCCGUUUAUUGCCUUACUUCACACUGAAAUAAGCCAACGUUUAUUUUAUUUUAUUUAUUUUAUUAUUUAUUUUAUUAUUUUUUUUCGAGACGGAGUCUCGCUCUGUCCCAGGCUGGAGUGCCGUGGCGGGAUCUCGACUCACUGCAACCUCCGCCUCCGUGUUCAAGCUAUUCUACCUCAGCCUCCCGAGUAGCUGGGAUUACAGGUGCCCGCCACCACGCCCGGCUAAUUUUUGUAUUUUUAGUAGAGAUGGGGUUUCACCAUGUUGGCCAGGCUGAUCUCGAACUGCUGACCUUGUGAUCCUCCCGCCUCAGCCUCCCAAAGUGUUGGGAUUACAGGCGUGAGCCACCGCGCCCGGCCCCCAACGUUUCUUUUUAAGCCUGUCAUAUCUCACAUUAAAUGUGUAAGUCUCUGAACUGUAGGGCUUUGAACAAAGGAAAGUUCCAUGAGAAUACUAUAUGAUGCCAAUUUCUACUGUUAGGAACGCGAUAACAGAGUGCAGUGGGGGAGAAAAUACCGUCCUCAAGAUCUGAGAAACUGGAGAGGAAAAGUCACAGGACAACCAACUUCUCUAUGACAUAGCCCAGCAUCUGAGGAAAGUCCUGCAAUAGUGGAGGUGGAGCAGAGGGUAUGAGCUGGGAAGCAAAUGGAGCAGGAGCUGGAGGCUGCCCCAUCCACUCCAAGCCAGAGAACAAGCAGAGGCUGCCACAGGAGAUCCUGGGCAAGUAAUCAGCCACAGCAUCUAGAUUAGCAUGAAGGAAACACUGGCCAAAUUAAAAGAUGAAACUUCCAAAAGGCUGGGAGGGACUGUGGCCAGCGCUGACACGGAAGUGGCCCGUCAAACAAAUGCUGCUGAGAGUACGAGAGCCAAGACCCAGGCAGAAGCCAGAGGAGGCAUCUGAAGUGAAGGGAGAAGACACUGCAGAUGGGGAAUCUGAGGAGUCCCCCACCCUCGAGAUCCCUACCUCUGGAUGCGGAUGCUCUGAUCUUGGUGGCCCUGAGUGGCUAUCAUGACAUCAGCCUCAUCCAGAACAAACACCUUGAUUUUCUUGGGAUCAAUGAACUUGAGCUUGGAGCACCAGUCCAGCACA
rnacentral:lncRNA from 1 species